CCUGGGGAGUACGGCCGCAAGGUUAAAACUCAAAUGAAUUGACGGGGGCCCGCACAAGCGGUGGAGCAUGUGGUUUAAUUCGAUGCAACGCGAAGAACCUUACCUACUCUUGACAUCCAGAGAACUUUCCAGAGAUGGAUUGGUGCCUUCGGGAACUCUGAGACAGGUGCUGCAUGGCUGUCGUCAGCUCGUGUUGUGAAAUGUUGGGUUAAGUCCCGCAACGAGCGCAACCCUUAUCCUUUGUUGCCAGCGGUCCGGCCGGGAACUCAAAGGAGACUGCCAGUGAUAAACUGGAGGAAGGUGGGGAUGACGUCAAGUCAUCAUGGCCCUUACGAGUAGGGCUACACACGUGCUACAAUGGCGCAUACAAAGAGAAGCGACCUCGCGAGAGCAAGCGGACCUCAUAAAGUGCGUCGUAGUCCGGAUUGGAGUCUGCAACUCGACUCCAUGAAGUCGGAAUCGCUAGUAAUCGUGGAUCAGAAUGCCACGGUGAAUACGUUCCCGGGCCUUGUACACACCGCCCGUCACACCAUGGGAGUGGGUUGCAAAAGAAGUAGGUAGCUUAACCUUCGGGAGGGCGCUUACCACUUUGUGAUUCAUGACUGGGGUGAAGUCGUAACAAGGUAACCGUAGGGGAACCUGCGGUUGGAUCACCUCCUUACCUUAAAGAA
rnacentral:rRNA from 1 species